rnacentral:lncRNA from 1 species
UUACAGCACUACUCAGCUCAUGCACGGGGUUGCUUCUUUGCUGCCUUCACAGUCAGCGAUAGCCACCCACAUGCGCGACGAUGCUCUAAAUGGUGCUACACUAGCGGCGAUGCUCCAAUUUUCACUCGCGGCGUUACUCUUCCAUCUCUUUCUUCACAGCCGGUGAUGCAUACCUCUAUCUUCACGCACGGCGCUGACUUUUCACGUGCGGCGUCGACCUUCUCUCUCUCUUCUUUUUCACUUCAUAGACGACGUUGGGUUUUCUUUCUCUCUCUCUCAUCAAU